AUGUGUGAGGGUUUCCUGGGCUGUCGACCGCACUGGGGUUUAUUCAAGCACAUAUUCACGUGUCGCUCUCAGACCGUGAAGAAGGCGAUCCCAGGCGAUGAAAGGACCCGAGUCGUCCAAAUGUGUGGGGGUCUGGGCAUCCAGGUGAGGAAUAAGAGCACUUUCCCGCCCAUGACCUUCCUCGAGUCAGUCAGAGGCUGGCAGUCGACCUGGUUCUACUGCCAGGACCAGUCGACGCCGGGGCAGUCGAGUGGACUCCCACAGUUUACCAUGGACCGAGUGAACAAGCCAUCCUCUCUGAAGUUGAUUCCGGAGGAGAAAGCUGACGUGAAGAUGUUGAUGGAGCGCGUGGUGCAGUUGGUUCGGGAGGGAGUGACGGGCAUGGACCUCCUGGAGGUCUUCCUCAGGCGUCGCAUCCAGCCCCUUCAGUUUCGGAGCCACUGCAUGUGGUUGUACUGUGGGACUGAAGACGAGACUCGAGUCCAUCCAGAAGCAGUCGACGAUGUCGCUCUGGAAAGAUGGAUGGUAGCCGUUACCGGGAACAAGGACAACCCACGCGGAGCCAGAAGGAUUCCUCCACUCGACCACCACAACGAUCCAAACAAGGUACACUUGCUCUGCUCUCCACUGCGUUCUUGUCGCAUUCAUUUCUGUUUACUCUGCCGACUGGUCGACUGA
rnacentral:rRNA from 1 species